rnacentral:rRNA from 1 species
AAUCGAACUCGGAGAUAGCUGGUUCUCCCCGAAAUAGCUUUAGGGCUAGCGUCGGAUAUGUGUAGUGGAGGUAGAGCACUGAAUGGGCUAGGGGGCAUAUCGCUUACCGAACCUUAUCAAACUCCGAAUGCCAUAUACAUUUAGUCCGGCAGUCAGACUACGAAUGAUAAGAUCCGUGGUCAAAAGGGAAACAGCCCAGAUCGUCAGCUAAGGUCCCAAAGUGUAAGUUAAGUGGAAAAGGAUGUGGGAUUUCUAAGACAACUAGGAUGUUGGCUUAGAAGCAGCCACUCAUUUAAAGAGUGCGUAAUAGCUCACUAGUCGAGAGAUCCUGCGCCGAAAAUGUCCGGGGCUAAAACUUACCACCGAAGCUACGGGCUUGCGUAAGCAAGCGGUAGGGGAGCGUCGUAAUCGGGCUGAAGUCGUACCGUAAGGAGCGGUGGACUGAUUACGAGUGAGAAUGUUGGCAUUAGUAGCGAGAUGUAGGUGAGAAUCCUACAGGCCGAAUAUCUAAGGUUUCCUCAGGAAGGCUCGUCCGCUGAGGGUUAGUCGGGACCUAAGCCGAGGCCGAAAGGCGUAGGCGAUGGACAACAGGUUGAUAUUCCUGUACCACUACCAUCGUUAUUAUCGAGGGUGUGACGGAGAAGGAUAGUGUGUGCUAGCGAUUGGAAAUGCUAGUCUAAGCGUUUAGGCAGUUACGGUAGGCAAAUCCGCUGUAACGUUAAUGCUGAGGCGUGAUGGGGAAGGCCCUUGAGGCUGAAGUACAUGAUUCCAUGCUUCCAAGAAAAGCAUCUAGAGAGAGAAGUAGUGCCCGUACCGCAAACCGACACAGGUAGAUGAGGAGAGAAUCCUAAGGCCGGCGGAAGAAUUGCAGUUAAGGAACUAGGCAAAUUGACCCCGUAAGUUAGCGAGAAGGGGUGCCUGCGAGAGCAGGCCGCAGAGAAUAGGCCCAAGCAACUGUUUAGCAAAAACACAGGUCUCUGCUAAAGCGCAAGCUGAUGUAUAGGGGCUGACGCCUGCCCGGUGCUGGAAGGUUAAGGGGAACACUUAGCGCAAGCGAAGGUGUGAACUUAAGCCCCAGUAAACGGCGGCCGUAACUAUAACGGUCCUAAGGUAGCGAAAUUCCUUGUCAGGUAAGUUCUGACCCGCACGAAUGGCGUAAUGACUUGGGCACUGUCUCAACUGCAAAUCCGGCGAAGUUGUAGUGCGAGUGAAGAUGCUCGCUACCCGCGAUUGGACGGAAAGACCCCGUAGAGCUUUACUGUAGCUUAGCAUUGAAUUCCGGUAUUGUCUGUACAGGAUAGGUGGGAGACUGGGAAACUAGGGCGUCAGCCUUAGUGGAGUCGUCCUUGGGAUACCACCCUGACAGUACUGGGGUUCUAACAGGACGCCAUGAAUCUGGUGACUGGACAUUGUUAGGUGGGCAGUUUGACUGGGGCGGUCGCCUCCUAAAAAGUAACGGAGGCGCCCAAAGGUUCCCUCAGAACGGUCGGAAAUCGUUCGUAGAGUGCAAAGGCAGAAGGGAGCCUGACUGCGAGACCUACAAGUCGAGCAGGGACGAAAGUCGGGCUUAGUGAUCCGGUGGUACCUCGUGGGAGGGCCAUCGCUCAACGGAUAAAAGCUACCUCGGGGAUAACAGGCUGAUCUCCCCCAAGAGUCCACAUCGACGGGGAGGUUUGGCACCUCGAUGUCGGCUCGUCGCAUCCUGGGGCUGUAGUAGGUCCCAAGGGUUGGGCUGUUCGCCCAUUAAAGCGGCACGCGAGCUGGGUUCAGAACGUCGUGAGACAGUUCGGUCCCUAUCCGUCGCGGGCGUAGGAAAUUUGAGAGGAGCUGUCCUUAGUACGAGAGGACCGGGAUGGACUGACCUCUGGUGCACCAGUUGUUCUGCCAAGAGCAUGGCUGGGUAGCUAAGUCGGGAAGGGAUAAACGCUGAAAGCAUCUAAGCGUGAAGCCUCCCUCAAGAUGAGAUUUCCCAUAGCAUAAGCUAGUAAGACCCCUUGA